rnacentral:rRNA from 1 species
GUGCCAGCAGCCGCGGUAAUACAGAGGGUGCGAGCGUUGUCCGGAAUCACUGGGCGUAAAGGGCGCGUAGGUGGCCACCAUAAGGCCGCGGUGAAAGUUCGGGGCUCAACCCCGAAUCGGCCGCGGCGACUGUGGGGCUUGGGUACCGUAGAGGCAGAUGGAAUUCCGGGUGUAGCGGUGGAAUGCGUAGAGAUCCGGAAGAACACCAGUGGCGAAGGCGGUCUGCUGGGCGGUGGGAUCGAAAGGUCUCUUAAACCGACACUGAGGCGCGACAGCGUGGGGAGCAAACAGGAUUAGAUACCCUGGUAGUCC